AAUAUGGUGUUUGGGUAUCCAAGUGAAAGAAUUGAAGCAGGGAAAGUCCAAGUCAUGGAGAUCACUGAGAAGGCUAUUGGAAACAUCCAAGUCAUCGUAGACAAGCUCAUGAAUGAAGUGCUAAAGCUCCACCACUUCUACACUCUCCACUGAACUGCUAGAGCUGAGAAUUGGCAAACAACACUGCUAUAUUUAGGCUUCUGGCUCGCCUGGGUUUUUACUGGGACAUCGGAAGGCAGGAGAAAAAGAGACCGUUAAUGCUUCUGGGUCUUGAAGGUGGCGGCCGAGGCGGAGCAGCAGAGAUGCGGCGAUUUCAGACUCCAGCAGCCCAGGCAAGGCUGCGUGUUUCCACCUGUUCAGCCCUUGUGAAGAAGGCGCUUCCUUUAGCGGAAGUGGCCACAACUGCACAGCGAACAGCACGUCAACAGGUGCAGGCCAGCGCCUUCUCAUGGUCUGCUCACAACAUCAGCAGCUUCUCGGCUCUGAGAGCUUUCCUGGUUUGCCAUUUUGUAACCCCAGCCGAGUCCCUACCCCCUUUUCAUGGGGUAGUCCUUUCCACUGCAUUGUAACCAAUUGGGUUGAAUAAAAUUCUGUCUAUUUGAAAUACCUAGAAUGGUUGAUAGGACCCUGACUGAUAGGAUGGGAAGAAUUCUAGCUCUUAGUCUAUAAAUGGCAACUUUGGGGGUCCUAGAAGAUCUUCAGACUGGAGCAUGGUGUGACAAGAGGACCACCAUAUGACAAGGGGCCAGACUGCAGGCAGACGCCAGAGAACCAAGAAUCUUGGGAUGAUUUUAAUAUUCCACUGGGGAUGAACACCAGAUCUAGUGUACGAGUGUAAGUGUGUAUGUGUGUGCAUGAGCAAGGUUAUCUAAAUAAAGAUGAUCAUAUAAGUACUGCACACUAACCAACUGUGCCACUGGAGAACCUAUUCUACUAAGAUGAAGUAUCACAAGAAUGGAAAAACAAGCA